GGGGGUUACCGGAAUUACUGGGGCGUAAAGCGUAUCGUAGGUGGUUUGUUAAGUCAGAUGUGAAAGCCCGGGGCUCAACCUCGGAACUGCAUUUGAAACUGGUAGACUAGAGUACUGUAGAGGUGGGUGGAAUUUCAAGUGUAGCGGUGAAAUGCGUAGAUAUUGGAAGGAAUACCGGUGGCGAAGGCGGCCCACUGGACUGAUACUGACGCUCAGAUACGAAAGCGUGGGGAGCAAACGGGAUUAGAUACCCUGGUAGUCCUCGCCGUAAACGAUGUCUACUUGAAGUUUGUUACCUUGAUCCGUGCCUUUCGGAGCUAACGCUUUAACUAUACCGCCCGGGGAGUACGCUCGCAAGAUUAGAAAACCUCCAAAAGAAAUUUGACGGG
rnacentral:rRNA from 1 species